GGGGGCGAAAAGGUUUCGACUGAUCUAGGAAACCGGUAGCGGCAUGCAGAGGUUGAGAGGAGGCCUCUUCCCGAAAGGGACCCUGAGCUUGUCGAAGGGUAAAACACCUCUCACACCAAGUAACUGCAGACGAGCAGUUCGCACUAGCUGCUUAAGCAGCUACGUCCACGGGUCCGGCCUGCGGGGCCCGGAUGGACGACCGGAGCAGGCUGGCCUCGAACCCGAGCCACCGGGGCAAGAGGCGAGAUCGUCUUCGUGGAGGCUAGUUCUCCGUAGGUCCUGUCCGCCGGAGUUGCGGAGAGCGAAUGAAAAAGACGGACUAAGCAUGUAGAGGCUUCCGGUGACAUAUUUCAGGACGCGGGUUCGAUUCCCGCCGCCUCCACCA
rnacentral:sRNA from 1 species